rnacentral:rRNA from 1 species
GCUUGUCUCAAAGAUUAAGCCAUGCAUGUCUUAGUGUAAAUAACUCUUAUGAAACUGCGAAUGGCUCAUUAAAUCAGUUAUGAUUCCUUAGAUCGUUUUUAUUACAUGGAUAACUGUGGUAAUUCUAGAGCUAAUACAUGCAAAACGCUUUUAUUAGACCAAAACCAAUGGGGUCGAAAGACUCCUUUGUUUGGUGACUCUGGAUAACUUUGUGCUGAUCGCAUGGCCUAGAGCCGGCGACGUAUCUUUCAAAUGUCUGACCUAUCAACUUUCGAUGGAAAGCGAUUUGCCUACCAUGGUUGUAACGGGUAACGGGGAAUCAGGGUUCGAUUCCGGAGAGGGAGCAUGAGAAAUGGCUACCACAUCUACGGAAGGCAGCAGG